GCAUCUGACUCAAUUAAGGGUCCUAUUCAUCGUGAGAUGGAUAUGCAAACCGGGUGAAUUCAGGAGACGCUAAAUCGCCUAAAAGCAGAUAUGCCAAUCCUGAGCCAAGCCGAAUGAAGCCAUUCAAGUAAUUCGGAAGGUGCAGAGACUAGAGGGUGAGGAUGGCAACCAAUAAACCCUCAUAAGCGCCCGGCUCGCCGUUCAAACUUUGGCGAGAUGAGAUAGUCCGACACUCCAGAGAAAUUUGGAG
rnacentral:ncRNA from 1 species